rnacentral:lncRNA from 1 species
UUUAGGUUGAGUUCUGAAGUCGAGCCAAGCCCCAAAUCAGUCCAAGCUGCCUCCUCCCCGACAUAUACACUCUCAAAGCAGCCAAUCCCAAUACUUACUCGAAAAUUUGAUAAAAUCAUGAAGAACCCAUAAGUUUUCUCAAGAAUUUGGUUCUAAAGGAGGCUAUUUGCAGAAUUGGAGGAAGAAAUAAAUUCGAUUUGAAGAGAGUUGGAGAGUUGUAGUUCGAUUUGAAGAAAAGGAAUUUAAGUUUAUGCUAGGCACAAUGAGUUCUAGUACUAGUGGGACAACAAAGAUAGAUCAUGCUUGGCGAUGGAGGUGAUAGUUUGGGUGAAGAUAGUUUGGAUGGUGAUCUUCUAAUUGAUGAGGAUGAUGAUUUCGAUGGAUGAAGUUGAUUUCAAUAAUUGUUCAUGUUCUUUGGCCAUUCAACUUUAAAUCUUUGGAUUUAUUUUAUGUUUGGUGAUUUUGUUGAAUCAUAUGGUUUUAGUACUUGCUUAUUAUGAAUGGAUGACAAUUUAUAAUGUUUUUUUU